AGUCAACAUGCCCAGGGGACGUGGACAACCUCGGGAAACUGAGGAUAAACCGCGAUAAGUCACUACUUCUGGAAUGGGUAAUGACUCAAAUCUACAUGGCCCCUGGAUUGGACUGCGGCCGAUCAGGCUGUUGGUGAGGUAAUGGCCCACCAAACCUGUAACCGGUACGGGCUCUGAGAGGAGGAGCCCGGAGAUGGGCACUGAGACAAGGGCCCAGGCCCUAUGGGGCGCAGCAGGCGCGAAACCUCUGCAAUAGGCGAAAGCCUGACAGGGUUACUCUGAGUGAUUUCCGUUAAGGAGAUCUUUUGGCACCUCUAAAAAUGGUGCAGAAUAAGGGGUGGGCAAGUCUGGUGUCAGCCGCCGCGGUAAUACCAGCACCCCGAGUGGUCGGGACGUUUAUUGGGCCUAAAGCAUCCGUAGCCGGUUCUACAAGUCUUCCGUUAAAUCCACCUGCUUAACAGACGGGCUGCGGAAGAUACUAUAGAGCUAGGAGGCGGGAGAGGCAAGCGGUACUCGAUGGGUAGGGGUAAAAUCCGUUGAUCCAUUGAAGACCACCAGUGGCGAAGGCGGCUUGCCAGAACGCGCUCGACGGUGAGGGAUGAAAGCUGGGGGAGCAAACCGGAUUAGAUACCCGGGUAGUCCCAGCUGUAAACGAUGCAGACUCGGUGAUGAGUUGGCUUCUCGCCAACUCAGUGCCGCAGGGAAGCCGUUAAGUUUGCCGCCUGGGGAGUACGGUCGCAAGACUGAAACUUAAAGGAAUUGGCGGGGGAGCACCACAAGGGGUGAAGCCUGCGGUUCAAUUGGAGUCAACGCCGGAAAUCUUACCGGGGGCGACAGCAGAAUGAAGGUCAAGCUGAAGACUUUACCAGACAAGCUGAGAGGAGGUGCAUGGCCGUCGCCAGCUCGUGCCGUGAGGUGUCCUGUUAAGUCAGGUAACGAGCGAGACCCCUGCCUCUAGUUGCUACCAUUAUUCUCAGGAGUAGUGGAGCUAAUUAGAGGGACUGCCGUCGCUGAGACGGAGGAAGGAGGGGGCUACGGCAGGUCAGUAUGCCCCGAAACCCUCGGGCCACACGCGGGCUGCAAUGGUAAGGACAAUGAGUAUCGAUUCCGAAAGGAGGAGGCAAUCUCUAAACCUUACCACAGUUAUGAUUGAGGGCUGAAACUCGCCCUCAUGAAUAUGGAAUCCCUAGUAACCGCGUGUCACUAUCGCGCGGUGAAUACGUCCCUGCUCCUUGCACACACCGCCCGUCGCUUCAUCGAAGUUGGUUCUUGGCGAGGUGAUGCCUAAUUGGUACUAUCGAACCUGGGGUCAGCAACGAGGGAGAAGUCGUAACAAGGUGGCCGUAGGGGAACCUGCGGCCGGAUCACCUCCUUAGUUAUCAUACCUUGCAACUCUUUGUUGUUGUUUGAGAACAAAAAAACAAAAGUCGAUAAGAAAAUAACUAACUUUAAGAUUGAUUGGCUCUGUUGUUGCAGUAAUAGUUAUCAUUAUUGUUAUUGUAAAUAAUCAUCAUGUUGCAAUAAUAGUAGCUAUAUUGAAUUGAAUGCAUAUUAAAUAUAAAAUAAUUUAAAUUUCAUUUCAGUUGUUAACAUACAAAAUUAAUAUCUGUGUAAAUAUUAUAGUAGAGAACAAUAGCAAAAACAAUAAUUAACCAAUCUAAGAAAUAGAAAAAUGUAUGAUUAUAAAAUAAUUGUAUAAUUUUAUAUAAUCGUAGAGCUAGAUAUAUUGUCUAUCUGAUCAUUUUAUAUGUAGUACAGAGUCGGCAUAAGAACAAACACGGAUGCAAUUCUUUGUCAGAGAAACAGACUGAGGAGUUUGAAGACAAAGGAUGAAGAUGGCGUAGUAACGAGUUUACAAUGAUCGUCGUGUAUAGGAUCAAAAACCAUUAAAAUUUCAAUAUAUAGUAAAGCAAAUAAACAGAUAAUUAAAUUUAGAAAUUCGCGCAGAAAUAAAAUAGUAUUGAAAUUAGUGAAUAAUGUAUAUCUGGUUGUAGUGCAGAGUAAAAAAUUAAAAAAAAAUUAAUCCAUAGACAAUUAAAAUAAAUUGUUAAUACCAUCAAUUAAAUAAAAAAAACGAACUGGAACUGGUGCAAAGACGCCGAUUGGUGGAUG
rnacentral:rRNA from 1 species